GAGUUGGGGGAGAGGACCAGAACCACCUGCUGGAGAAGGGGAGCUACGGGGGCCGGGCAGGGUCCAAACGCCUCACGUAGGCGGCGGCGCCACGGUCUUCGGGGUCACAGGGAAGAGAAGGGCUCUCCUCAAGCGGGUGGAAGGAGGGAGGCCUCCCGAGGGAGUGAGACUCUAGGCCACUCCCCCGCAGCAAGGCAGGAUCACCUGCGACGCGGAGAGCGGUUAGAGGGCCCUGGAGUGGAAAAGGGCAGUGGGACCUGGUAGCUUGGGUUCCCUGCAACUUGGGGUUCGACCUCCAGGCAAUGAAGUAGGGAUGGUCCUGCAAGUCAAGAUUCCAGUAGCAAGAGUGCAUCAGAUCUCUGUAAGGAAAAUAACUAACAUUGCUCAGUUCCCUGUAGAGUUGCAGGGCGCUUUAACGUUAUCUCCCUUGGUUCUCCAUCAGGUCGUAGUGGACUAAUUUUACAGGCGAAGUUAAGUGACUUACCCAAAACCUCACAGCUAAUAAACGGCAGAGCCGGCACCCAGCUGUACUGGCUUCCAAUUCUGUUAGCUUACCAGCGCAUCACAUUAUCUCCAUAAAUCCCCAUGAUUCAACUAAUAUUAGACGCCCCACAGGUAAGAUGCUUCAGAGUUAGAGGGGAGUUGAAGAUACCUUUGCCUUCAAAGAAGUAAGGAAUAAAACAAAGAUAAAACAGACAAUAAAAGACAAACCAUGAUAGGUGCCACGUGAAAAGUGGCAGAGUACUGCCGGGAAUCAAAGAACCGUGUAUAUCUGUCUUGGGGAUAAGGAAAGAAAGGCAGCAUGAAGGAGUAGGCAUUUGGGAUUGACCUUGAAGGAGACAGGGAGAGUUUUACAGCAAGCAGGGAUAGCAUGAGAAUAUAUAUGAAGGCGAAUCAGUGAAAGUUGUGUUGGGGAAAGAGCAAAGACUCCAGGGUAUGUUGAGAGGUAGAAAAGACAAAGGAGUAUGGGGCCUAAGAUACCAAAUGGAUGAAUUUAUAUUUAAUUCAGUAUUUUGAGUUUUUAUGGUUCAGAAGUUUGGGGGAAGAAAAGGAAGGUUUUUUUUUUUCUUUGUGCUAGUGAUUUAUCUGUGAGGGGAAGCAGAAAUCAGAGGUGGAAAAACGGACAGAUCUACUGUAGGCCAGGUAAAAAUGAUGAGUCUGACCUAAAGGGACAGCUAGGGGAAUUUAAAAGAGCAUAGUUGAGAGAUGAUGUGCAUGCAGUAUCUAUAGAAUUUGGCAACUGAUUGAUUAAUUGUGGGUAGGAAGAGAGAAAUCAAAGAAAGUGGAGGUUUUGAGUUUGUAGAUAAUUGCAAGAGAGAAAAGAGACAAUUACAAAGGAGAGGGAGCUACUUCUUGAGAGAUCAGUUUAGAUUUGGACAUUUUAAGAAUUCAAAGGGUUGUCAAGACAGCCAGAGAGACAUGGACACUAAUAAGUUAGAAAUAAAGGUUUUGUAAUAUGGGAAAGAGGACUGAACUAGAAAAUAGACUCAUAAAUAAUCAGCCUAGGAGUGAUAUUGCUGUGAGAUAAAAGAAGAAAACAAAGGUCAGAAUCUUGGAAAACACCCUCUUUAGAGUCUCGCUACUCAAAACGUGGUCAGUGGCCCAGCAGCACUGACAUGAGGAUGUUAGUUAGAAACUCAGAAUCUCAGGCUCCACCCCAGACCUGCUGAACCAGCAUCUUCAACUUAACAAGAACCCGAAGAGAUUUGUGUCACAUCAAAAAGUUUGAGAAGCUCUGAUCUAGGUGAGCCAAGCCAGCAAAGAAAGGGGAUGGAGCAGAAAAUGGGAGGAGAAUAGGGUAACGCAGAAUCAUCAAGACAAGGUAAAUUGGAGUUUCACAAAAACAGGGCUGGAAGGAGUGUUGCUCAACAAUAUCCAAAACCACAGAGGUUGAAAAGCACAAGGAAAGAAGGUAUGUUUGCACUUUGUGAUUAGGUAGUAGGGUCUUUGAGACCACAUUGUUCUUAUUGAAAGCCUGGGAAGAAAGAUCCCCUUUCUGGUCAAGUUUAGUCUAGGGAUCCAUCCCAUCUUCCCCAGUUCCCACGUGUAUGGGACAUGUCGAGAUAAGUAGAUAGAUUGGACAGUGGGAGAAAGUAGUUCUCUUCCAGUUGCUUCUAUUUUCUCAGCAAAGUGAGGAGCAAGAUCAUUUUGGCAGACUGCUAAUUGUCCAUCACAAUUUAGUCUCCCUUUCUCCCUGAAAACACAGACUGCUUUUCUCAGCCUCUCUUUCAGUUGCAUAUGGUCAAGUAUUAAGUUAUAGAACGUGAGCAGAUGUUAUGUCUGCCACUGUCAGGCCAAGGCGUUUACUUUGAGAGUACUUGUGCCUCUUUCAUGCAUUUUCCUUUCUGCCAGCUGGACCCUGGACACGGUGACUCUGAUUCAAUUAUGCAGAUGACCACAAACCUCUGGGGUUGGCAGAGCCACAAGAAAGAAGGUGCCUGGAUGAAGGAGAGCUACCCACUGACCUGGACACCCAAUUAUAGGAUAGACAGUGAAGUGCAACUACAGCCCGCAAAUGAAAAUGAAUAAUAUUAAUCCAGCCCCUCAAGGCAGGCGAGUAGCUGCUGUCAUCUGUCUUAGAGCUAUUGGAAUCCUGGAUCAUUGUGGGAAAUGAAAGGUCUGGAUGCCCAUUUUAAUUCUUCUGAAAGCAUGCCUCCUCCUUCUGGCUUCAGGACUCCAUCUCCAGCCUCUUGAUCUAAAAA
rnacentral:lncRNA from 1 species